GGCCUUGACAUACUAAGAACUUUCCAGAGAUGGAUUGGUGCCUUCGGGAACUUAGAUACAGGUGCUGCAUGGCUGUCGUCAGCUCGUGUCGUGAGAUGUUGGGUUAAGUCCCGCAACGAGCGCAACCCUUUUUCCUUAUUUGCCAGCGGGUCAUGCCGGGAACUUUAAGGAUACUGCCAGUGACAAACUGGAGGAAGGCGGGGACGACGUCAAGUCAUCAUGGCCCUUACGGCCAGGGCUACACACGUGCUACAAUGGUCGGUACAAAGGGUUGCUACCUCGCGAGAGGAUGCUAAUCUCAAAAAGCCGAUCGUAGUCCGGAUCGCAGUCUGCAACUCGACUGCGUGAAGUCGGAAUCGCUAGUAAUCGCGGAUCAGAAUGCCGCGGUGAAUACGUUCCCGGGCCUUGUACACACCGCCCGUCACACCAUGGGAGUUUGUUGCACCAGAAGUAGGUAGUCUAACCGCAAGGAGGACGCUUACCACGGUGUGGCCGAUGACUGGGGUGAAGUCGUAACAAGGUAAGCGUAGAUGA
rnacentral:rRNA from 1 species